UCACAGGCUUUUACUCCGGGAAUUAUGUCUUCAAAUUUCCAGCUUUGGAAGAAUUGAUAGUUCAUGAAUGCCACAAUAUGAAGACUUUCUUUAAAGGAGUCUUAAGUGUACUAAGUUUACGAAAAGUAAAACAGGAAUCAAAUGACAAAUUAGGAUGCUGGGAGGGUGACCUUAAUACUACUACUCAAUUUCUACACAGAAAAAAGUGAAUUUUCAGAGUUCUGGAAGGAUACAGAGCAAACUUCAAUGAAAUCUCUAGAAUAAGGCUCUUUUGUUUGUGGUUUGAGGCAUUGUUGCGGCUCAAGUUUCCUGUGUUGAGCAAUUCUGGAAUCAUCCUUUCUGUCGCAAAGCUCUCUCCUGGCCAUGCAGCUUAUUAUUUCUUGGCAAGCUAUCAAAAUGGGAAGUUUGUGCUUGCAUUCUGCAAGUUUCCUUGCUUUGAUUUAUUGGAACUUGCAAAGGCAUUUCUGUCCAUGGUCAAAUAUCAGAGCCAAGUUCAAAAUCAGUUUCAAUUGAUAUUUUUGUUUAUCUUGUCCGGCUUCUGGUUCCAGGUGUUCUGCUCCAGAAUAUAUUGUGGACCCUCUGCUUCCUUGGUCCCCUGUAGUGUCCUGUCUUUACAGAACCAACCUCUGCAAUUGCU